rnacentral:rRNA from 1 species
GCCUAGGGAUCUGCCCAGUCGAGGGGGAUAACUACUGGAAACGGUAGCUAAUACCGCAUACGCCCUACGGGGGAAAGCAGGGGACCUUCGGGCCUUGCGCGAUUGGAUGAACCUAG